AUCAGAACGCAACGAUUGACGAAAGAGGGGUUUUAGAGUACAUGAAAUCAUCUCUAUUUCUCAACUCUGAUCAAUUCAGAUCCUAGUAGGAACGAGGAGGCAUUCGAUUUUCUAUUAUGAACAAGCUCAAGGGUCUCAAUUCUACUCCACGUCUGCCAUCAAUAGCAGAAAACUUCAAUCGCAGUACCUUACUCCACAACGGCAUGGGAAGGGACAGUCCAGAAUGUGUCAUUUAUGAUUCAACACGCCCAUGGAAAUUUCAAGUAAAAGACAAGGACUUGGGAUUGGAAGAUAAUACGAGUAGACUCUUUAAGGUGUUUAAUGAGAAAGUAAAGAAUGGUCGCAGCACUAUUAUGUCGUCCGACAUGACGCUUAAAGAGGCUAGACGUACGUGCACAGGAUACGCACCCUGUAGCCACGAUUUCCCUGGGAAAGUGAGGUAAUGAGGAAGCAAAUGAUAUCAGCACAGUGGAGAACCCACGGCUUGGGAUCAAAGAAGUUAAUGGAGCGUGGAAGCCACUGGAGAAGCAAUGAGAGGUGUAGAUCUUGAAGGAUGCAUCGAAGUGGGGAACCAACGCCUUGGGAGAGAGUAUCAAAGAUGAUAGUGGAGCGUGGAGGCUUGGGGUGCGAUGAUGCAUCUCAGUUGGUGGGCAAUAAGGCUUGCUGUACAUGUUAUGAGAAUAGCAAUGAGAGGUGUACAUAUCAAAGUAUGCAGCGCGGUACCACCUUGGGAGAGCGUAUCAAAGUAAAUAAUGGAGUGUGGAGGCGUGGUGUGCGAUGAUGGAGCUCAGUUGGUGUGCAAUAACGGUUGGUUUACAUAAGGGAGACAACAGAAACAUAGUUGAAUGAACGAGAGGAGGAACUACAGUGAGCUUGAUUGAAACUUUUAGGUGUAUGAAAAUAUAGUUUGAUGUUUCAGUCUUUCAUUACAAUUUUCUGGAUAUGAAACAGUAUUUUU